rnacentral:tRNA from 1 species
UGUGAUGUAGUUUAUUUAAAAUACUUGUUUUACACUCAGGAGAACUCUUUAUGUGGAGCUUUACUA